rnacentral:lncRNA from 1 species
AGAUUGACAAUGCAAUAAAGAAACACUCCGUUCUAAAUCUACUUUACACGGGUAGUUCGGUCACUGAUCUUCGUAAUGGCAGUAUUUUGGCGAAGACGAAGUUAGAAUUUGAAAGUAAGAUACAAGAGAUCAGAGAAAUCCCAAACGUAGCAACGGAAGACGUUGUAAUACAAAGCCUGAAAAAGAUUCCGACAUUAUUGGUGGAGAAGUCCUGUAUAGUUUGGGAAGCAGAACCAAUAACAACAGUAACAACUGAAGAACCAACA